rnacentral:rRNA from 1 species
GAUGAACGCUGGCGGCGUGCCUAAUACAUGCAAGUCGAGCGAACAGACGAGGAGCUUGCUCCUCUGACGUUAGCGGCGGACGGGUGAGUAACACGUGGAUAACCUACCUAUAAGACUGGGAUAACUUCGGGAAACCGGAGCUAAUACCGGAUAAUCUAUUGAACCGCAUGGUUCAAUAGUGAAAGACGGUUUUGCUGUCACUUAUAGAUGGAUCCCCGCCGCAUUAGCUAGUUGGUAAGGUAACGGCUUACCAAGGCGACGAUGCGUAGCCGACCUGAGAGGGUGAUCGGCAACACUGGAACUGAGACACGGUCCAGACUCCUACGGGAGGCAGCAGUAGGGAAUCUUCCGCAAUGGGCGAAAGCCUGACGGAGCAACGCCGCGUGAGUGAUGAAGGUCUUCGGAUCGUAAAACUCUGUUAUUAGGGAAGAACAAAUGUGUAAGUAACUAUGCACGUCUUGACGGUACCUAAUCAGAAAGCCACGGCUAACUACGUG